UAGAUGGUAUCUACAUGAACCAUACUAAAUAGUUUCGUAACUUAGCAUACUAAGCUUAAGAUCUUAAAUUACCGUAAAGAAGAUAAACAAAAAGCCGCUUUAAGCCUAAUGGCAAGAGACGGAAAU
rfam:Desulfitibacter sp. BRH_c19 BRHa_1006962, whole genome shotgun sequence.